rfam:Gossypium raimondii Chr05_contig_28, whole genome shotgun sequence.
UGUUAAAAAAUUAAUCCAUUUUUAUUAUUUAAAACUAACAUAGUUGACAAAAUAACCAGACAAUUAUACGUGACAUGUACACCUUGUGCUGACAUACAUGGACUAAUUUUAAUAGUAAAAAUGGAUAAAACUUUUAACA